rnacentral:rRNA from 1 species
UACGGAGGGUCCAAGCGUUAUCCGGAAUCAUUGGGUUUAAAGGGUCCGUAGGCGGUUUUGUAAGUCAGUGGUGAAAGCCCAUCGCCCAACGGUGGAACGGCCAUUGAUACUGCAAGACUUGAAUUAUUGGGAAGUAACUAGAAUAUGUAGUGUAGCGGUGAAAUGCUUAGAGAUUACAUGGAAUACCAAUUGCGAAGGCAGGUUACUACCAAUA